rnacentral:misc_RNA from 1 species
UUUCCGUAGGUGAACCUGCGGAAGGAUCAUUAAAGAAUUUGCCCCGUCCUCUCGAGGAUGGGUCCUCUUCUAAACCGUGUAUACAUACCUUUGUUGCUUUGGCGGGCCGCCGUCUCGGCGUUGGCUUCGGCUGACUGUGCCCGCCAGAGAACCCCAACUCUUCUGUUUAGUAUUGUCUAAGUUCUAUAUAAUAGUUAAAACUUUCAACAACGGAUCUCUUGGUUCUG